UACGUAGGGAGCAAGCGUUAUCCGGAAUUACUGGGUGUAAAGGGCGCGUAGGCGGGAUGGUAAGUUAGGUGUGAAAUCUAUGGGCUCAACCCAUAAAUUGCACUUAAAACUGCUGUUCUUGAGUGAAGUAGAGGUUGGCGGAAUUCCUAGUGUAGCGGUGAAAUGCGUAGAUAUUAGGAGGAACAUCAGUGGCGAAGGCGGCCAACUGGGCUUUUACUGACGCUGAGGCUCGAAAGCGUGGGGAGCAAACAGG
rnacentral:rRNA from 1 species